rnacentral:rRNA from 1 species
GUACACUCCUGCGGGAGGCAGCAGUGGGGAAUUUUGGACAAUGGGCGAAAGCCUGAUCCAGCCAUGCCGCGUGCAGGAUGAAGGCCUUCGGGUUGUAAACUGCUUUUGUACGGAACGAAACGGCCUUUUCUAAUAAAGAGGGCUAAUGACGGUACCGUAAGAAUAAGCACCGGCUAACUACGUGCCAGCAGCCGCGGUAAUACGUAGGGUGCAAGCGUUAAUCGGAAUUACUGGGCGUAAAGCGUGCGCAGGCGGUUAUGUAAGACAGUUGUGAAAUCCCCGGGCUCAACCUGGGAACUGCAUCUGUGACUGCAUAGCUAGAGUACGGUAGAGGGGGAUGGAAUUCCGCGUGUAGCAGUGAAAUGCGUAGAUAUGCGGAGGAACACCGAUGGCGAAGGCAAUCCCCUGGACCUGUACUGACGCUCAUGCACGAAAGCGUGGGGAGCAAACAGGAUUAGAAACCCCAGUAGUCCCAUGAU